rnacentral:rRNA from 1 species
UUGCCGUGCGGGGUGCUUACACAUGCAGUCGAACGGGAUCCAUCAGGCUUUGCUUGGUGGUGAGAGUGGCGAACGGGUGAGUAAUGCGUGACCGACCUGCCCCAUACACCGGAAUAGCUCCUGGAAACGGGUGGUAAUGCCGGAUGCUCCGACUCCUCGCAUGGGGUGUCGGGAAAGAUUUCAUCGGUAUGGGAUGGGGUCGCGUCCUAUCAGGUAGUCGGCGGGGUAACGGCCCACCGAGCCUACGACGGGUAGCCGGCCUGAGAGGGCGACCGGCCACAUUGGGACUGAGAUACGGCCCAGACUCCUACGGGAGGCAGCAGUGGGGAAUAUUGCACAAUGGGCGCAAGCCUGAUGCAGCGACGCCGCGUGCGGGAUGACGGCCUUCGGGUUGUAAACCGCUUUUGAUCGGGAGCAAGCCUUCGGGUGAGUGUACCUUUCGAAUAAGCACCGGCUAACUACGUGCCAGCAGCCGCGGUAAUACGUAGGGUGCAAGCGUUAUCCGGAAUUAUUGGGCGUAAAGGGCUCGUAGGCGGUUCGUCGCGUCCGGUGUGAAAGUCCAUCGCUUAACGGUGGAUCUGCGCCGGGUACGGGCGGGCUGGAGUGCGGUAGGGGAGACUGGAAUUCCCGGUGUAACGGUGGAAUGUGUAGAUAUCGGGAAGAACACCAAUGGCGAAGGCAGGUCUCUGGGCCGUUACUGACGCUGAGGAGCGAAAGCGUGGGGAGCGAACAGGAUUAGAUACCCUGGUAGUCCACGCCGUAAACGGUGGAUGCUGGAUGUGGGGCCCGUUCCACGGGUUCCGUGUCGGAGCUAACGCGUUAAGCAUCCCGCCUGGGGAGUACGGCCGCAAGGCUAAAACUCAAAGAAAUUGACGGGGGCCCGCACAAGCGGCGGAGCAUGCGGAUUAAUUCGAUGCAACGCGAAGAACCUUACCUGGGCUUGACAUGUUCCCGACAGCCGUAGAGAUAUGGCCUCCCUUCGGGGCGGGUUCACAGGUGGUGCAUGGUCGUCGUCAGCUCGUGUCGUGAGAUGUUGGGUUAAGUCCCGCAACGAGCGCAACCCUCGCCCUGUGUUGCCAGCACGUCAUGGUGGGAACUCACGGGGGACCGCCGGGGUCAACUCGGAGGAAGGUGGGGAUGACGUCAGAUCAUCAUGCCCCUUACGUCCAGGGCUUCACGCAUGCUACAAUGGCCGGUACAACGGGAUGCGACACGGCGACGUGGAGCGGAUCCCUGAAAACCGGUCUCAGUUCGGAUUGGAGUCUGCAACCCGACUCCAUGAAGGCGGAGUCGCUAGUAAUCGCGGAUCAGCAACGCCGCGGUGAAUGCGUUCCCGGGCCUUGUACACACCGCCCGUCAAGUCAUGAAAGUGGGUAGCACCCGAAGCCGGUGGCCUAACCCUUUGUGGAUGGAGCCGUCUAAAGGGA